rnacentral:rRNA from 1 species
UACGUAGGGGGCAAGCGUUGUCCGGAAUCAUUGGGCGUAAAGAGCGUGUAGGCGGUCUGUCGCGUCUGCUGUGAAAAUCCGGGGCUCAACCCCGGACUUGCAGUGGGUACGGGCAGACUAGAGUGUGGUAGGGGAGACUGGAAUUCCUGGUGUAGCGGUGAAAUGCGCAGAUAUCAGGAGGAACACCGAUGGCGAAGGCAGGUCUCAGGGCCACUACUGACGCUGAGAAGCGAAAGCAUGGGGAGCGAACAGG